GGCGUGUUGACCGAGUGGCCCAAGGUGUGCGACUAGAACAGAUUGGGAAAUCGCAUGGGUUCGCCCGCGUAGGUUCGAAUCCUGCACACGUCG
rfam:Cordyceps militaris CM01 unplaced genomic scaffold CCM_S00001, whole genome shotgun sequence.